AGCGGCAAAAUAAAAGCAUUGAAUGAAGCUGCUACGAAUGCCACCGGAUCACAACGAAUACACUAUCAUUACUGAUAUCGGCGGUACUAUAAUAAUUUAAUACCACGCUGGUGGAAAUGAAAAUCUCUUAAUGAAAUAACCAACUAAUUAAGACGCUGAGAUAUCGAGAUCAGGAGGGAUCCAGGAACUUAGGGCCACUUCAAAGCGUUGUUUACCCGCACUCACAAAAGUUAUUACAUCCCCACAAUGACCACAAAGAGAGUACGUUUGCUAGCUAAACAUUCUCUCUGUACACAGAUAAUAAAGGCGGAUCAAACAUUC